rnacentral:rRNA from 1 species
GUAACAAGGUUUCCGUAGGUGAACCUGCGGAAGGAGCAUUA